rnacentral:lncRNA from 1 species
GGCUUUUGUGCUGGGUUGAGCUGUAUCUUCCCACAGUGGUAUGCUGAAGUCCCUGUUCCCUGUACGACAGGAUGUGACCAGAUUAUUGUGAGACAUUGUUUCUGUUCAGCCGUUCCACUCCUGGGAGCUAAUAAUCUACUCGGAGGCAGAAAGCCUUCAUAGGAAACAGGUCACAAGGCAAGGCAUUACAGAAUUUCAGGACCGUAGAAUCUGUGCCCUGGAGCAGCCAAGCAGUCCUUGACAGUGGCAUCUCCUUAGACACACAGCUGGGUUCCCAGAAAGCCAUCGUCUGGCCUCUCUCCCUAGACUGGCCAUCCAUCGGAUUGAUUAGGGCCCUGUCUCCAAAGACAGUUCCCUUUUGAAGAGGCUUUGACAUAUGGAUGACCCAGCUCAGCCUAUGGAUUUUCCACAGUCCCAACUACAGCACAUUCAGGGUCUUAUGGAAUCUUUCUCAUCGGGACUUCCUGGGAAGAUGGGAACAAAUGCCUAUUCACGUCAGAUAGGGCCCGGAUGACAGACAAGAGAGGUGAGUCCAUUCAAGUCUGACAGGCUGAACCAGAGAGUUUAUUGGGGUUGCUUACAAAGCAUGGGUGCUGAUUUAGACGCACAUGAGUGACUCAAAGGCCACUGUAUCACCCCAAAGCCCAACCCAGCAUGGGUGGCGACUCAGGCAAGGUACAUCCUUGGAGCUCCAUGCACAGCUUGCUCUCCC